GUCACCAAGAAGAAUGUGUUUUUUUCAGAGCCUUGCUGAGGCCUGCAAGCUGGAGCUGCCGUGUGCCUCUGCCUGGUAAAGGUCCCUUUCACACCACUGCAGUUCUAACCAGAGUGGAGAAAGCAGGACAGGAAGCCAUGCCUGCCACAGAGCUGAAGACUCCCUACCUUUGGCUGUCAAGACCCAAAGCCUGUGCACAGACGUUUGGAGAGCAUUUUCCCUGACAUCGGAGAUAGUGGCCUCUCUUGCUUCUGCUCAGCUGUGUGGCCCUCCCACAUUCCUGCAGAUGGUAGAACCUGCUUCCCAGCGAGGAUUCCGGGAACGCCAGCAAUUCCCGUGAGGCUUUGCAGCCACCGAGGGUCAGAGCUGCGGCUUCAACCCAGCCUGGCCUGCAGACCUGAGGACCUGCCUGCAGCCCUGCAAGCAAACACCACCUGUUUCUGUGUCUGAUGAGACAGCAGCAAGACUCUCGUUUCUCCCACUGGCGCAUGGAUCCAGAGAUCCUGUCUUGUCUUCCGGCUCAGAAGAUGUAAAUGUGGCCUCACUGUGCAGGUCAGUGGCCAUGACUGUGGGGUCCCAGGAAGUGGUAGAAUCUCCGUCAGUCCAGCCCAGCUGUGGGGAGCAGCUGAGAUGAUUGAGCAGGGACGAGAGAUGGCCUCUCAGUGCUGCUGUUGGUCUGUGGGUGUUGGUUGUAUCAGCCUUCCUUCUGCUUGAGGGCAUCUGGGUUAAAUUCUGCCAACCAAGCACAAGGGGAUGCUCAACUGCGGAUAAUCCAAUGCUGAUCAGAUGCCUGGAUCCUGCCCCACUGGGUUUACACCUUGAUCUUCCCGAUUACACAGAACGGUG
rnacentral:lncRNA from 1 species